GAUGAACGCUGGCGGCGUGCCUAAUACAUGCAAGUCGAGCGAAGCGGGGACGGGUGAGUAACACGUGGAUAACCUCCUAUAAGACUGGGAUAACUUCGGGAAACCGGAGCUAAACCGGAUAGUGAUGGAUGGGUCUGCGCUGCAUUAGCUGGUUGGUAAGGUAACGGCUUACCAGGGCAACGAUGCAUAGCCGACCUGAGAGCGUGAUCGGCCACACUGGAACUGAGAGACGGUCCUGCCUCCUAGGGGAGGAAGCAGUAGGGAAUCGUCCGCAAUGGGAGAAAGCCUGACGGAGCAACGCCGCGUGAGUGAUGAAGGUCUUCGGAUCGUAAAACUCUGUUAUUAGGGAAGCGGUACCUAAUCAGAAAGCCACGGCUAACUACGUGCCAGCAGCCGCGGUAAUUC
rnacentral:rRNA from 1 species